rfam:Halobacteroidaceae bacterium T328-2 scaffold_275, whole genome shotgun sequence.
UUGGAAAAAAGGUACACCUGUUGAAAGACAGGGUCACAAAGUCUGGGUCUACGGCGAUAAGCUAUGAUUGUCAGACUGCCAAA